rnacentral:misc_RNA from 1 species
UCUCCGUUGGUGAACCAGCGGAGGGAUCAUUACCGCGUUUACAACUACCAAGCCCCAUGUGAACCUUACCAAACGUUGCUUCGGCGGGAUACCCCUGGCGCGGGCCGCCAGGCCUCAGCCCCGGAACCAGGCGCCCGCCGGAGACCCAAACCAUACUCUUGUUUUUAUAGAAUCUUCGUAGUGGCCUUUUAGGCAAAAAAUGAAUCAAAACUUUCAACAACGGAUCUCUUGGUUCUG